GCUUGUCUCAAAGAUUAAGCCAUGCAUGUCUAAGUACAAGCCUCAGUAAGGUGAAACCGCGAAUGGCUCAUUAAAUCACACCUAAUCUACUGGAAAGUUACUAGUUAUGAAUUUAGCCACCUGGUUCCGUCGCAAGACGUAGGAAUAACACUGUCAACUGCAGCGAUAAUGCCUGAAAAACGUGUGAAUUUAGUAGCACAAAUACUAGAGUAUGGAUGAGUCCGCUCUAUUCAGGAGGGUUUUCCCUCUGUUGACCAUCGAGUUCGAGGGUUGAAUACUUAGGCUUCGGCUUCU
rnacentral:rRNA from 1 species